rnacentral:rRNA from 1 species
CACGUAGGAUCCGAGCGUUAUCCGAAUUCACUGGGCGUAAAGGGCUAGCAGGCGGCCGGAAAAGUUGGAUGUGAAAUCUCCUGGCUCAACUGGGAGAGGCCGUUCAAGACUAUCUGGCUCGAGGGCGAUAGAGGGAGGUGGAAUUCCAGGUGUAGUGGUGAAAUGCGUAGAUAUCUGGAGGAACACCAGUGGCGAAAGCGGCCUCCUGGAUCGCACCUGACGCUGAGAAGCGAAAGCUAGGGGAGCAAACGGG